GAUGAACGCUGGCGGCGUGUCUAACACAUGCAAGUCGAACGAAGCACUUAAGAUUGCUUCUUCGGAUGACGUCUUUUGUGACUUAGUGGCGGACGGGUGAGUAACGCGUGGGUAACUUGCCUCACACAGGGGGAUAACAGUUAGAAAUGACUGCUAAUACCGAAUAACCCGAUAGGAUCGCAUGAUCCAGACGGCAAAGAUUUAUCGAUGUGAGAUGGACCCGCGUCUGAUUAGCUAGUUGGUCAGGUAACGGGCCACCAGGGCGAGACUCAGUAGACGGGCACAGAGAGUGAACGGCGACAUUGGGACUGAGACACGGCCCAAACUCCUACGGGAGGCGGCAGUGGGGAAUAUUGCACAAUGGGGGAAAUCCUGAAGCAGCGACGCCGGGUGAGUGAAGAAGUAUUUCGGUAUGUAAAGCUCUAUCAGCAGGGAAGAAAAUGACGGUACCUAACGAAGAAGCCCCGGCUAACUACGUG
rnacentral:rRNA from 1 species